AAUUAAUUAAUAAAAUUUAUAGUUUUAUUAUAAUUUGAGAGAAGUUAAAUAUAAAAAACAUCAUUUGUGUAAUUAUGAAAAAAGAAUUUAUAAAUUAAAAUCAGAAACAAAUGAAAAGCAUCUUAAUCUUCUGUUAAUGAUAUAGAUAUGUUACAAGGAAUCCGUUCUCCAUUCUCAAUCUCCUCGUACGAUCUCAUCUUACACUCACCGGACCACUCUAUCGCGCCACCGUCCACGGCGGCUCCGGCAAUCACCUUUGGCUCGUGGAAAAUAAAAAUUAAAAAAAAUAUAUAAAAAAUAAAAUUCAGAAAUAUAUUCCAAAAAUCCAUAUUCAAGAAAAAAUAUUCUGACAAUCCAAAUCUAAUGUAUUUUUAAAAUUCAAAUUCAAAAUACAUUUGAACCUACACCACAACUACCACUGGUAUUUAAAAAUUAAGAAAAAAACAUUUUUAUCAUUUUACACCUAACUUAUUAGUUACGUAGUAAAAAAAAAUGGGUGCAAAAAGUAAUUAAUUAAAACAUUGAGCGCAAAAAAAAUUCUUCUUCCCCGAGCUUCUUAUUAAGUUAUUAAUUACAUAACAUUGGAGAGAGAGUUCUCAAAAAAUUCUUCCCCUUUCUUAAUAUCAGGUACCGUGUUUCUUAAUUCUGCAUUGAAUUUAAAGGCUUGUUUUGUUCAUUAGAAAUCUGAAUUAUAGAAGUUUCGUUGAUAAUGUUUCUGGUGCUAAUUAUUUCUUUGCUUUUUUCAUUUUCAUUUUCCUCGAAUUCUAUCUUUUUUCUCCUUAUUUUAUGAUUCUGAUUCUGCUUCUGCUGAUCGUUUUGAUCCGCUCAUGGUUUGCAUUAUACAUGUGUGUAACUGAAUUUGAUUUACGUCUUAUUUUUGAGGUUUUUGGCGUAACAGUGUAUUUGGAUUGCUGUUUAUGACCCUAAUGUUUUCCAUUUGGUUAGUGAUGUAUGAUAUGCUUAUUGAGUUGGUUGGUUUUGAUGAUAAAUUUGAUAUGACCCUUGGAACAAUGACUUAUUUUAGUGUGUUAUUAGGGUUUAUGAUGAUUUUGGUGUACAUGAUUUUUGUUUUGGUUUUACUUGUUAGAUCCUAUUUAUCAAUCCCUUUUCCUUGAAAAAAAGGGUAAGAACUUCCCACCCCAUAACAGUAUAAAUAGGUGAUUAUAUUGUGCAGGGUAUGGGAAUGAAUCCAGAUGCUGCUUUUGACGCUUAUGACUAUUUAUUUGAAGAAAUAGAGGGAGAAGAUGACUAUUUUUCUGAAGAACUAGAGGUAGAACCUUAUAUAAAUUCUGCAUUUCGUUCUUCAAGUACAAAUGAAGUUUAUUUCUUCUUACAAGACAAGUACAUGCGGUUGUAUUACACUCCUGGACAGCAGACACAGACAGAUGAUAAGAUUUUGAGAGAUUUGGAUUGGAUUUGUUAUGACUUUCCAUCACUUGAGCAUUCGUCAUUUUCAGCAUAUGGAAUAAAAUGUUCCUUUGACACUGAAGACUACAAAGCAUAUAUCUUCUCUGAGUGUUAUUGUGUCUACCUUGACUAUGCCAAUGACAAGAUACUAUCAUUUUCUGCUAUUCGUAGAACGUUUCCCAUCCUAGAAAACACUGUGUUUGAGCAAAACAUACACUCUGCAUUCAGGUCACCCAGAGGACAAGAAGUUUACUUAUUCAAGGGCAAUAAGUAUUGUUGCUUAGACUAUGAUUCUAAGCAACUUAUUGACCCCAUUCGUAAAAUCACUGAAGGAUUUCCUAUUUUGAAAGGUACCAUCUUUGAAAAUGGAAUUGAUGCAUGUUUCGCUUCUCAUAAGGAGAAUGAAGUUUAUCUUUUCAAGGGAGAAAAUUAUGUACUGAUGAAUUUCAUAGAUGACACCCUUGUGGAUGAUGUGAAGCCCAUGGUUGAUGUUGGUCAUCUUUAAAAGGCAUUCUGCCUCUUGGUGAUCCACAAGGUGAUCCUUAUCCUCAAAAAGUUGGUACUAAUCGUUAUCAUAAUCGUUCAGUAGAUGAAGAAGAGUAUGAUGAAGAGUAUGAUGAAGAGUAUGAUGAAGAGUAGGAUGAAGAGUAGGAUGAAGAGUAGGAUGAGCUUAGACAAAAAAAAAAAAACGGACUAGCCAUAACGUGAUAACGUGAAAAAAAGCNNNNNNNNNNNNNNNNNNNNNNNNNNNNNNNNNNNNNNNNNNNNNNNNNNNNNNNNNNNNNNNNNNNNNNNNNNNNNNNNNNNNNNNNNNNNNNNNNNNNAUAGCUCCCCGGUUCUCAGCUCAGCCAUAGAAGAUCUUCUUCCAGCUUUCACUUUCGUAAUCGCCAUUGUUUUCAGGUCUGUUUCCAAUGCUUUUGUAACAAUGCUGUUUUUUAUCCUUCUACAUGUGUUGGUGUCCUUUUUCUAAAAGAAAAAUAAUGAACUAAAUGAUUGUAUGGUAUGUUGAGGAGAGUUUUUCGCUAACAAUUAUUAAGAUAUAAAGUGUAAAACUAUAAAUGAAUUAAGUUUUUAUAAUUAAAAUUAAUUUAUGCAUGAGUUAAAAAUAAAUAUUUGAAGAUAGGUUGCUGCAAAAUAAUAAGACUUUUUUGGUUUCUGCAAAUUCUGAAAAUAUUUGGGAAGUUUGAAUCUAACCCUUUGCAUCCCUCACCGUGAUUCCUCACAAUGCCGUUUCCUACACACGCCACAAAAAGUAGAGAAAAAACUAUUUUUUUAUGUUGGAGCGCCUUGUCAUUCUUGCUUUCUCUCCUCAUUCUUUUGUUUUUAGUUAAAUUAUUCGUUUGUCACUAUAUUUGAUCUCAUUUUAACUUUCAAGUUUUAGUCAAUUUUAUUUUUUUUUAAAGUUUUAGUUCCUACGCACUUUUUUUAAUCCAUUCUCUCAUUUUUGUUGAAAUUGAUCAGAAAUCACAAAUUUUAAUCAAUAAAAUGGAAAGAAUGUGUUAAGAAUAGUGUAUUCUUAUCACUUUUUAAGUUAAGUUUUGGUUCAUCUGGCAAAGACCAAAGAAGAAUUUUGUUGUAGAGAAACAUUUCUACAAAAAAGUUAUGAAAGUAAUAAACUGCUACACAAAAAAAAAAAAAAAAAACUUAAGAGGGACAGAAACUUGCAGUUUUGUCAAAAAUAGGGAUUAAAACUUAAAAAUAAAAACAACUAUAUGAUCAAGUGAAUAGUUUAACCUUUGUUUUUGAUUGAGGUAACUCCAAUAAGGAACCAUUUAAUUAUUUAUAUGGAAGUUUAUUUCCUCUAUAAAAUUGUGUUAUUAAUGAAUCGGUAGUGAUUUGAGUUCUCCGUCUGUUCCUCUGCAGCAAUUGUUACUAAUUACCUUUUUUUUAAAAUGGUAUAUGACUACAGGAAAACCUUGAAUAUUUAGUUUGCAUGCGAGUUAUGGUAUCGAGGAGGCUAAAGUCGGUUCCCUCUCUCUUUCAAAGUCUUGUUAUUUUAAUGUGUUUGUUGUUGAUUAGGUGUUGUUUUGCUUCCUAAUGUUUGGUUUUCGUUUUGUAGCAAAAAAACAACUGUAACAAGAGGCAUCUUGCCAAAAAAUUUGUUUCAUUUAGCACGCUACUUACAGGAAUCCAUGUCUACUUCUGGUGUGCCACUGUUGGUUUAUGAAAAGGCUGUUAAUGCAGUUUGCUUCACUUCAGUGUUCCUAAAACACUUGAUUGAAAGUGCCCAAGAUGGUGUUCUUGUGUUGUACUAAAAAGUAUUUUGGGAGACUAUGUAGUGUAACGUUCAUAGGACUUUAGAAAUUCAUUCAUCUUUGCUCAGUACCCUUACAAAGGUUAUUCUUUCUUUAUUAUUUAUUUAUGAAUAUAAUUUCUAUGCACUAUUACUAUCAUUUUUAUAUUGUCAACCAUCAGAAAGGAUGACUUUUAAAUUAGUUAUUAUAAAAGUCAAAGAAACAUAUUAUUCAUGGCAACCUGUGAUUGAAGAUAGUGCAAAAGUAUUUUACACUGUCAGUGCAUUAAAUUAACUUUUUCAUUUAUUUGGUUUUAUGGUAAGUUAGUAAAUUUUCAGAUAUCUGGCCCUGGAAUCUCCUCUUCUAGUUACUGAAAUUUAUCCAGAUGCUCUAUUCUAAUGCAGAUCAUGAGGAAUGUGCUUAACUUUAUUGCAUCUGUAGAUGUGAGGUAUAUCAUGGAUAAUAAAUUGGUAAAUUUUCGUUGCCUUAUUGUGUGAAACUGCAAACUUUUUUUUGCCCUGAUUAUAUAUAUAUUUUUUCUUAUAGUCCCAACACAUAUUUCCUACAUCUGGAGCUGCUUAAUUUUAUGAUUAUUGCAAUGUCAACUCAGCUUCUGUGUGAGCCAUCUCCUAGAUCGAAUGAUGUGAACCCAUUUCUUGAUGCAGUGAUGGCUCAGGUAAGAAGCUAAAGCUUAAAUAUCUAAUUUGGCUAUUUAGUUUCUAGGUAAUUUGAAGUUGAACCCACUAGCGAAUUUGAAGUUACUGUGUACUCUUAUCUUUUGCAGGAUGGUCAUCUGGUAAGUUCAGUUGUGUGCAAACUGCUUUUAAAUUACAUUACCUGUCCUAGUGUUCCUUUUAAUCGAGCUUCUUAUCCCAUGUUUUAUGAUGGAAACGAGAAUGUUCAAGAAAUCCAUUAGUGGAUAGCAGUCUUGAUGUGCUUCUUGUUCUCAUUCAUUAUCGUAAAUGUCUUGUGAGUGAGGGCUAUUCUGUCACAGAGAAUCAAGUAUCUUAUGAUGUCAGAGUAUUUGUUUCGUAUGUUUUUCUGUCACCCACACUGCAUGUAGAUCAAGCAACAAUUCUUGGACUUCUUUCCUUGUUGGACUUUUAUAUACAUAUGAAGUUAUGGGUAUGCAUGUGACAUCUUAUUUUGUUUGUUUUCCUUUUUUAGUAGCAAGUGUGUCUGGAAUAUAUACAUAUGUACAUUUAGUGUAUACUUCAUUAUAUUGAAUUUUAUAUCACAGUAUUUUAAACGUUUCAAAAAAUUUCCCUCUCUUGGUGCUCAGCUGAUGAAACAGCUGUCUUACUUCUUUACUCAUUGUUGCAAGGGAAUUUCACCUUUCUGGAGUAUAUGUCUUGGUCCGGACUGAUAUGGAUACAUUGGUAUGAAGAAAUAAACUUAAAUCCUCUUGAGAAAAAGUGGAAUGAAUUAAUUAUUAUACGGUAUAAAUAAAUUUUAGGGGAUUCCUUGACUAUGAUUUGAAAAUAUCAUUCCUUAUUCUUAUGUCUUAAUCAUACCAGUCUUAUUAUCAGUGCCUCUAGAAUGAAUGAGGAUUUAGUCAUGCUCUGAUAAUCUGAUUUUUUGUUUCUCUCGUUAAAUUAACAGUUAAUGCCCAUUCUAGAAGAUUAUACGAUGCUCGAAGGAGGACAGCCAAUCAAAUUUACAUGUUGAUUAUACUUCUCAUACUUAGUCAAGAUUCUUCUUUCAAUGCGGGAAUUCAUAAGCUGGUAAGACUUGUUUUUUGUCAUUAGACAAAGUCUUAUACUGUAAUGAUUGUGCUGAAUAGUAUGUUUAUGGACAGAUACUGCCAACCAUUCCAUGGUACAAAGAACGACUUCUCCUCCAGUCUUCUCUUGAUUCCCUCAUGAUAAUCAUUCUUAUCAGAACUGUCUUAUCAUUGGACAGAACUUGAUGUAUAUCUUUAUACAACGUGUUUGGCAACAUUGGCAAACAUGGCACCUCAUGUCCACCAUUUGAGUGCGUAUGUUGCCUCUCUUUCUGGCCUUUCAUAAUAAACUAUAUCCAUUUCAUAUUUAAUGGAUCACAGAAUAUGUAAUGGAUCACAAAACAACAAGGAACUGGUGCAUUAUGAAGCACAAUUAAUCAACCGAGGAAACAAUAUGUCAACUAUAUUUCAAAACAAAAAUUCUAACCAUUUUCAAAUUAAUAAACAGGGUCUGGGAAAUCACAUUCUAAGGCUCCACUGUUUCCCAUCAGCCAGUGGCAGUAUGUUUCUUGAAAUCAUUCAAAACCUUGCCUUCCCACUGAGCACCCUCUUUUGCCACGGUCCAUAUAACCACCACUUUACUGCAAUGCACUGACAAUAAUAGAUUUAGGUAGCCCUAAAUUGGGUGCCCAAGCAACAUCUCUAACCCAAUCUGUGUGCAUAUGAAGAGUCCAUCUUCCACAGUUCAUUGUUGAGUUUCCAUACCUUCACAGUAUUAUCAAAGGAACACGAUGCUACUUGCCAAACAGGUCCUAGGUGACCAGUCAAUGUUGCUCACUCCAAUUAUCUUAAUUGUGUGAUCUGAUGAAGCUGCUGCCAGUCUCUUACCAUAGUAAUCCAUGGCAACAUCAUGGACCGUGUCUUGGUGAUCCGUUUCAACCUUCUGAGAACGCAUACUACUGCUAAAAACACACACAUACACAAUGCGAACAGUUAGUUUCAAACAACAAUUUGCAAGUGAAACUAAUACUCCAAAGGUUCUAAAUUUCACACAAAUAUUCAUUGAAUUUAGCAUUGAAGAAAGUGAAACGCAAUUAUGAGUAAAUCAGUUUUAUGUAUGACAUAUUGUUCGAUGUCAUGUCAUUGUUGUAAUAUAGUUACUAUCAAUUUGAUAAAUGAGAUAGUAAAAUAUAUUAAACGAUUUAUAAAAGUAUGAUAAAAAAAUUUCUUUACCUUAUUACCAAUAGACUUUAUAUUAUGCAUAGUCUUCUAUUAUAAUAGAUAAAAUAUAACUUUAUUAUUCUUAUAAUUUGACCAUUUUCACAUUAAGGUGGACUUCAUCUAUCUCGAAAAUCUAAAGCAGUUAAUUAAGUUUUAAUAAUAACUAAAAUCUUUAAUUUGUCUCUACAGUCAGAAUUAAGCGAGAUUGUGGUAAUUCAUGUUCAAUAUGAACAUUUACCAUCUCUAUAAAUGGGUAAAUGUUACAUGAUAAAAGGUACAUUUUGCUAUCGCAUUUAUCAUUUCGAUUUGAAUUUCGAAUACUAACUUGAGUGUCCAAGUGUAUUUUGCAAAUAUCUUCCUCAUCUCGACCGAAAUCACAUAAGUGACAAAGAUCCAAGAAGUAAUUAAUUAAGAUUUUAAAACUAAUGGAUAAAAGGAGAAAACACAUUCCUCACAUACAAAACAAAUGAUAAUUUUUAUCUCUUAGUACAUAAAUGGGUUAUAAUUCCAUCUUUAAAAACUAAAAAUUAUAACUUAGUUCUUAAAUAUGUAAAAAAAUAUAUAAAUUAUAUUAUAUUUUUUAUAUAAUUUAAGGACAACUUCAUCUUCUUUAACAAUAUGAAAUAAUUAUUAUAUUUUUUCACAUUUUUAAGGAAUAAAUCAUAACUUACAUAUUGAAAGUGGUUGUUAUUCUGAAAUUUUUAUAUAAAACCUGCUCAAAGAUUUAUUAUAUCUUUAAAUGUAUGAUAAGGCUUUGAAAGAACUUGGAAGGUGCAAUUGGCUACAAAAUUAGGAAUAUUCAAAAGAGAGAUACUCUCAACGAAUUCAUGUCAAUUAUGUAGAUUUUUACUUUCUAUUAUUGACACCAACAUCUUAAGCUUUGAAUGCCUUCUUAUUUUUUUUUAUAAUAGGGUAAUUUGAAAAACUUUCUUUGUAAUAUCUCUUAAUUAGUUUAUGCAUAAGAUUUUAAUGUUAAUAAAUUUCUUCAUACAAAAAUAAAAAUAUUUUUUCUUAUGUAAAACUAAUAUUUGCACACAUUUAUAUGAAUUCUCUAAAUUUAUUUAAUUAAUUUGAGUAUAUAGAGAAUCUCAUUUUAUUUUUUUAUUUUUCCUAGAAUUCUUUAUAAAGAAGCUAAUUUAAACAGAGUUCAUUUAUAUGAUUUUUUUUAUUAUAACUUGGAUAAGCUAAUUUUAACUCUUAGAAGAAAAAGACUCAGUUCAAUUGUUAUUUCUUAUUUUCCACUCCUAAAAUGUCUUCCCUAUGUGUUUGUCCACCAAAGAUACAUAUAAUAAUGAAGAGGUUUGGUUAAUGAAUACCUACUUAAAAAAAAAUAUUUUAAAAUAACUGAUUUAAAAUAUAGCUAUUAAAAAAUAGUGAUGUAUAAUUUGGGUUUAAAAUAUGCAUAAAAUUGUAACAGCUUACAAUCUUUUACUUUUAUUGUUUAUGUAGCAUGCUGUUACAAUCAUACUAAAUAUUAGUGGAGUUUCAAAUUUUAAAUAUUAUACUUUUCAAGGUUAGUAUUUAAUUGCAUUAUUAAAUGAGAACACUGGAAAUUGUCUGAGUUGAAUUUAUAUAUAUUAACUAUAUGGUAUACUUUCAAGGAAUAAGAGAUAACUAAACCAUUAUCAUCAACAUAUCAUCACCAAGAAGAUUUACCUUUAUUAUAAAGAUACCACAAAACCAUAAAAUGAGGGGCAAGUGAUGGCACACUUGUAUAUAGCAUCAUCCUUUAUUCAUUACAUGGAUAUCUCAAAUCAUUUGCAUCUUCAGGAGUGAACCAUUACACUCAAAAUUUAUGAACAGAAAAGAAUGAGAACAUUAAAUUUUUGUACCUAAUUUAUCUACACAAAUAUUCACAAACAGAGUUGGAGUGCUUGACAAGGGAUCAAGCUGAUGAUACUCAGACUAGUCAAAGUCACUGUUUUGGAAUGUAUUUCUUACCUCAUUGUCAAGUUUCUGCAACACAGUGAAUUUUGUCAUUGAAGACAAUAAUCCAAGUUAAUGUAUUAGUAUGUCACACUAAUGGAAAAGAAACUAAAGCAACACAUUAUUUUUAAAACUCUAGUAUGUUGAAAUUUAACUUCCAAAUGGUUUUUAAGCCAAAAAAAAACAGAGAGAAACAUUGUCCUUUAUUUUUAUAUUUUGACCAAGAAAAAAUUAUCACAAGACAAAAUUAGAAGUUGGUUUAGGUGUUCCAUUUGAAAUUCAAACACACCUGAAGUUUACAGAACUUGACAUUUGUGAGAUAUGGGAUAAUGACUUCACAAUGAAUGAGACAAUAAUAAUUUCAGAAAUAAUUUAUUAGUAUUUUCUCAUUACUAAAAUUGAACACACAACUAAAAAAACUGUUAGUACUUUUAUUUAAUUAAUUUAUAAAAUUUAUAGUUUUAUUAUAAUUUGAGAGAAGUUAAAUAUAAAAAACAUCAUUUGUGUAAUUAUGAAAAAAGAAUUUAUAAAUUAAAAUCAGAAACAAAUGAAAAGCAUCUUAAUCUUCUGUUAAUGAUAUAGAUAUGUUACACUCACCGGACCACUCUAUCGCGCCACCGUCCACGGCGGCUCCUGCAAUCACCUUUGGCUCCCUCACUUUCUCCAUCUUUUUCUCAGGUCCCUGCUUUAUCCUCUCUCUUUCUUUCUUGAUCUAUUGAAAUUUCAACUUCAAUCUUAUGAUUCCGUACCAUUUUGCGAUUCUUCAUAUUUAUUGGAUACAUCUCUCUUUUUUUGGGACAAUUUCCUCAUUUCACCUCCAUUUGCGGUUUAUUUUCAAAGAUAAAUCAUUUCACCCAAUUUUAGUUCUUUGUGCAGGGUUUGAUGUUUUUAAUUUUGCCAAUUGCUUGCUAUUCUACGAUAAUUUUUAGAUCAUGAUUUACUCAUAAUUGCGUUUCACUUUCUUCAAUGCUAAAUUCAAUGAAUAUUUGUGUGAAAUUUAGAACCUUUGGCUGGGUUUAGAGUAUUAGUUUCACUUGCAAAUUGUUGUUUGGAACUAACUGUUCGCAUUGUGUAUGUGUGUGUUUAGCAGUAGUAUGCCUUCACAGACAAUUUUGACAAGGGUGGUUGAGAGGUUGAAUGAGCAUUAGAACCAGAAAGUACGCAUACUAGCAUUGUUUUGACAAAUUUUUUGGAAUUAAAAUCAGAAAGUACGCACUUGGCAGUCCACUAAUAUUGCAGACUGCAUACUAGCAUCCAAGACUCUUUAUGUAGGGCAGAAGAACAAGGGCACAUUUCAACAUUCAAGCUUCCUAGCAGGGGAGCCACAUUGUCUGCUGGUAGACUAGUGGCAGAGGAUGGUGUUCUUAAG
rnacentral:lncRNA from 1 species